rnacentral:rRNA from 1 species
CCUACGGGGGGCUGCAGUGGGGAAUCUUGCGCAAUGGGCGAAAGCCUGACGCAGCAACGCCGCGUGCGGGAUGAAGGCCUUCGGGUUGUAAACCGCUUUCAGCAGGGACGAAGAUGACGGUACCUGCAGAAGAAGCCCCGGCCAACUACGUGCCAGCAGCCGCGGUAACACGUAGGGGGCGAGCGUUGUCCGGAUUUAUUGGGCGUAAAGAGCUCGUAGGCGGUUCCGUCAGUCGGGUGUGAAAACUCUGGGCUCAACCCAGAGACGCCACCCGAUACUGCGGUGACUAGAGUCCGGUAGGGGAGUGCGGAAUUCCUGGUGUAGCGGUGAAAUGCGCAGAUAUCAGGAGGAACACCAACGGCGAAGGCAGCACUCUGGGCCGGUACUGACGCUGAGGAGCGAAAGCGUGGGGAGCGAACAGGAUUAGAUACCCUGGUAGUC